CAAAAACAUCGCUUUUGGAUAAUAAUCAAAAGGUUCUGCCUGCCCAGUGAUCAAUUAAUUUGAUUAAACGGCUGCGGUACUCUGACCGUGCAAAGGUAGCAUAAUCAUUAGCCUGUUAAUUCCAGGCUGGAAUCAAUGGCAAGACGAGGAGGAAGCUGUCUCUUUCUAUUUUUUUUGAAUUUUAUUUUUUGGUGAAGAGGCCAAAAUAAUAAAGUGGGACGAGAAGACCCUAUUGAGCUUUAGCUUUUUUUUAAUUAAUAAUUAAGUUAGAAGUUUUGGUUGGGGCAACUAUUUUUUAUAUUAAACAAAAGUUUAUAAGUUAAUGAGUUGAUUCUAUAAUGACCCAGAUUAGAUAUUUUGGUAGAAAGAAAAAGUUACCAUAGGGAUAACAGCGUAAUUCUUUUUGAGAGUACAUAUUGACAAAGGAGUUUGCGACCUCGAUGUUGGAUCAAGUUUUCCUGAAGGUGUAGUCGUUUUCAAGGGUUGGUUUGUUCAACCAUAAAAAUCUUACGUGAUCUGA
rnacentral:rRNA from 1 species